rnacentral:rRNA from 1 species
GACGGGUGAGUAACGCGUGGGAACAUACCCUUUCCUGCGGAAUAGCUCCGGGAAACUGGAAUUAAUACCGCAUACGCCCUACGGGGGAAAGAUUUAUCGGGGAAGGAUUGGCCCGCGUUGGAUUAGCUAGUUGGUGGGGUAAAGGCCUACCAAGGCGACGAUCCAUAGCUGGUCUGAGAGGAUGAUCAGCCACAUUGGGACUGAGACACGGCCCAAACUCCUACGGGAGGCAGCAGUGGGGAAUAUUGGACAAUGGGCGCAAGCCUGAUCCAGCCAUGCCGCGUGAGUGAUGAAGGCCUUAGGGUUGUAAAGCUCUUUCACCGGAGAAGAUAAUGACGGUAUCCGGAGAAGAAGCCCCGGCUAACUUCGUGCCAGCAGCCGCGGUAAUACGAAGGGGGCUAGCGUUGUUCGGAAUUACUGGGCGUAAAGCGCACGUAGGCGGAUAUUUAAGUCAGGGGUGAAAUCCCAGAGCUCAACUCUGGAACUGCCUUUGAUACUGGGUAUCUUGAGUAUGGAAGAGGUAAGUGGAAUUCCGAGUGUAGAGGUGAAAU